rnacentral:rRNA from 1 species
UACGGGGGGGGCAAGCGUUGUUCGGAAUUACUGGGCGUAAAGGGCUCGUAGGUGGCCAACUAAGUCAGACGUGAAAUCCCUCAGCUUAACUGGGGAACUGCGUCUGAUACUGGAUGGCUUGAGUUUGGGAGAGGGAUGCGGAAUUCCAGGUGUAGCGGUGAAAUGCGUAGAUAUCCGGAGGAACACCGGUGGCGAAGGCGGCAUCCUGGACCAACACUGACACUGAGGAGCGAAAGCCAGGGGAGCAAACGGG